rnacentral:rRNA from 1 species
AGAAUGAACGUUGGCGGCGUGGAUUAGGCAUGCAAGUCGUACGGGCCUUGCUUGCAAGGCCAGUGGCGCAAGGGUGAGUAAGGCGACGGUAACCAACCCCACGGGUGGGUAUAGCCGCGGGAAACCGCGGGUAAUCCCCAGCGACGUCCGGGAGGGGCAUCCCUCCUUGACCAAAGCUCAGGCGCCGUGGGACGGGCCGUCGUGGUAUUAGCUUGUUGGCGGGGUAACGGCCCACCAAGGCGGCGAUGCCUACCGGGCGUGCGAGCGUGGCCCGGCACACUGGGACUGAGACACUGCCCAGACUCCUACGGGAGGCUGCAGUCGAGAAUCUUCGGCAAUGGGCGCAAGCCUGACCGAGCGACGCCGCGUGGAGGACGAAGGCCUUCGGGUUGUAAACUCCUGUCGAGGGGGAAGAAGGGGGCGCAAGUCCUUGACUGAUCCCUGGAGGAAGCACGGGCUAAGUUCGUGCCAGCAGCCGC